GCAGGUCUUCUACUAAAGCUUGAGAAACGAAUUGCUGAAAUCCCAAUUGAUUCCAAAGAACUUGGCUUUACUCGACCUGGACACUAUAUCUAUGAGUUCCUCUCUGAUUUGAAUAUCACAAAUGAGACAGCAAAUAUGCUAAUUGAUACAAUUGAAAAUGCUUCAUUGCUUCUUGAGGAAGGCAUCACAUCUCAGGAAGGAGUGCAAAGACAAUCUAACACAGCUUGCAGAUUAGAGAGCAUCGGAAACAUUCUUAAAAUUGUAUUCAGGGAUGGUGGUAAAAGUCAUGCACGCUUUUAUAGUUUCCAUGUGCAGGAGUCCCAAUCAAUUACUUCAGAUUCCCUGAAAGGUACUGGUUUUA